AAAUUCCUACGGGGGGCAGCAGUAGGGAAUCUUCCACAAUGGACGAAAGUCUGAUGGAGCAACGCCGCGUGAGUGAAGAAGGGUUUCGGCUCGUAAAGCUCUGUUGGUAGUGAAGAAAGAUAGAGGUAGUAACUGGCCUUUAUUUGACGGUAAUUACUUAGAAAGUCACGGCUAACUACGUGCCAGCAGCCGCGGUAAUACGUAGGUGGCAAGCGUUAUCCGGAUUUAUUGGGCGUAAAGGGAACGCAGGCGGUCUUUUAAGUCUGAUGUGAAA
rnacentral:rRNA from 1 species